UGUGUGUGUGUGUAUGUAUGCUACUACCAGGUACCAGGGCUUGAACUCAGGGCCUCACAUGCAUGACUUGAUUUUCCUGCUCAUGCCUGGAACUCAACCACUCCAGCCUUACUCCAGUCCAGCAUUUGAUGGGUUAACUGGAGAUGCAGGCUUGCAGACAUUUCUGCUGGGCUGGCUCCUGAGUACCUGGGGCUAUAGGUAUGAGCCACCAACAUCCAGCAAAAUCAACAAGCUUUUAAUGAGCAUGUACUUACUCAGGGACAGGCCCUUGCUUAGGUGCUGGAGGGUGACUAAGAAAAUAAUUAAUGAAUUAAUGAAUGGAUGGAUGAAUGAAUAUGUA